rnacentral:ncRNA from 1 species
GAGAAACCGUUGAACAAGAGAAGUAGGAAUAAUCACUUGCACACAGAGAGCCGUCGGUGGUGAGAGUACGGCUGCAAGCUUAUUCUGAAUGGACUUGUGAGGGAAGCCCGAAAUCGAAAGAGAGUAGGCGCUUACGGGGGCCCUACCCGUUAUCAGCGGGGUGCAUAUGUUGGUAUGCAGGAACGAGUGGGUGCAGUAAUGCGCCAAUUUGGGUGGCACCGCAGAAGCUAAGGCUUUUGUCCCAUUA